CUAUUAACAGUUUUUUAUUAGUUUAAUUCGUUUUUAUUUAUUUAUUUACAGGCCAGUUGCUGAAAGCUACUGAGAUGAAGGAAGACACUAGCAUUCUUGUGCAUAUUCGAGACAAAGACUGUGUGUCUCUGGAUGUGCGAUACCACAAGUCCUGUUAUAGACCGUACACCAGGUUCUUGACAAAGUCUAGUGCAUCAGUUACUGGGACCUCAGAAGAACAAAAUGAGCCAACCUUUGAUGCCAGCUACAAGAUCUUCUGUAGAGGAUCAUCCGCCAUAGAAUAAUUGUAAACCAAGAGGUGUUGUCAAUGACUCGGCUAAGAAGGAUCUUUUUAAAUCUGGUGAAAAAACAUGAAGAUCUUGGUGCUUCAAGCUACAGGCAGGAUAAAUUGAAGAGGAGGUUGGCCCGUGAUUUCCCCCAGCUGGUGUUUCACUCCCCCAAGAAGCGCAACAUAAGUGAGAUGGUUUUUGUUGAGACAUUCUCUGCAGAUAAGCUGAUAGACAGGCUACCUCAUCCAUCAGGUACAGAAACAACAGAGUCAACUGUGGUAACUAGCCAAAGUGACUGUGAAAACAGGGCUAGGACAAAAGCUGGUCCACAAAGACCAACUUCAAUGGCCUCCAUCAAUACUGGAGAGGACACAAGGACACUUUACAGUGUGGCAUUAAUAUUAAAGAUGCUUCUGUGUGACUCUCCCGGUAUGAAAUGCCCGUGGGCCACCCACAUCAGAUGACUUAAAUGUGAGCGAGGCAAAAUCUGUCGUGCCAAUUGAACUGUACAGUCUGAUUUCCUGGAUUACUGGUGCAACUGAGGAACCAACACUGGCUCAUUAUGUUGAUAUUCCAGAUGAUUUGAACCUAAAAGUGAUAUCUAUCUGUCAAGACAUUGUGUAUCUUGCAUCUAAGGGCCGGAGGCAGACCCCUAAAUCAUUGUGUCUUGGUCUAAUGGUUCGCCAUUUAACAGGUUCAUCACAAAUUGUGUCACUUCUAAAUAGACUAGGACAUUGUGCAUCAUGGGACACAGUUGUCAGUCUAGACACUAGCCUUGCCCAACUUCAACUAGUAGAGGGCAGAGACAAAAUACCAAAGGGAUUCUCAAAGAAGGUUCCUACAGUACUUGUGUGGGACAAUGUUGACUUUGGGGUGGAGAAACUGUCAGGUCGUGGAACUACCCACCACACAAAUGGGAUUAUGCUGCAUAGUUCUGUAGUUGAACCUGUGUCAACAACAAACAGACAACCUCUACAGAAGGGAGUUUCCUCAUUGAAAGCACCCCCUAGCAUCCCUGUAGAACAGUACCAUCAGUCUAAAAGACAAGGACCACAGAACUUGUUUCAUCAGGAAAGUGUUCCAUUACAGGCGGACACAUACAAAUUGAACACUGUGUCUGCUGUACAAACUGAACUGGCAUAUGUUUUUGUAAAGUCCAUAGAUGCUGAAAGAUGCACAAUAUCAAGCUGGACAGGUUUCCAUACAUUCUCUGAAAGGUAUAAUGUGUGCCCCUUCACCCGUUGGCAAUGGAUGGCACUUCAAGGAUGGUGAGUUAACUGUGACCUGGAUGACUAGAAAUCCUGCCCCUGAAAGUGUGUUGCAGGCUGUCCACUGCAGUUGCAAGCAUAGCAAAUGUGAGACUGGAAGAUGUUCCUGUUUGUCUGCAAGACUGUCUUGUACUUAUUUAUGUCGGUGCCAAAAUUGUGCAAAUGUUUCACAGGAAACAGAAGAAAGACCUACAUGGGUUGAUGGCUCUGAUAGUGAUAGGGAUGAUACCGAUGAGUAAAUAUGCGCUGUUUUAUAAUUUAAGGUGAUUUUGAGCUGUAAAGAAUCUGUUGUAGAAUUGUAAUUUUAUUUUGGCAGCAUUUAAAAAUAAGGGGACAGUGUAGCAUUUCGAGUCAUUUCAGCCAACUUGGGCCAAAGUGUGCUUAUAUUUGUAUCUUUCUGUGAUUACACAGUACCUACUGAAAAUUUUUGUGUAUAAAUCAUCACAGUUUUGCUAAAUUUAUAAUGUUUAUGUUUAAUUUUGCUUAGUGCCAAUCCGUGAAGUUGAAGCAUGU